CAUGUAACACACCUACACAAAAUGUCAUGAUAUCAUUUUCAGUGACAGCGGUUCGUCGUUUUUGGAGAAUCUGUUUGGUGACUGGGUGAAGAGGGGUACCGUCAUCAGGCUGGACAUCCGCCACUGGCUGCAUCGCUGGGAUGCCGUCGUGAUCAAGCAGAGCCACGCCAAGUAUGGGGCUUUCAUGAGUGCCAUGGCGGGUGCCGUGCUCGCCUACAACAAGGCGGACAUGAUGCUUCUUGUCCAGGCGGUCAGGAACGGUAACCCAGAGCUCUACGGCAGGUACUCUGAUGAGGAGAUGAUGGCCUUCCUCAAGCCUUAUCAGAUCAGGUCGUAUGUAAGGCGUAUUACCUGUGGGGUUGUGGUAAGUGUGGCUUUCAUAUUCACAUAUGUGAAUUUUACAUAUAACAGGUAGCCCUUUCCAAAUCUGUUUUUAUUUCUUUCAUCUUUUGUCUGUAACAAAAGUUAUGGUUAUCUGAAGUAUCCAGCUUUGAAAAUAAAUGUAUGUGUUAAAUGUGUGAAUGUGUUUAAUGUGAUUAAACACUCAACGCUGAGAAUAUAUCCUAUGUGUUACAGGAGACUGCUUUAGUGAUAGAGUCCAUCCUUGCUGAGUUCCGGGGACCAGCCGGCCUUGACAUCGAUGGCAUUCACCUGUUCAAGUCGCCAGAGGCAGUCGACGCUCACUGGGCAGUUGCGAGCAAGCACCUCAGUUGCAUGCAGGAUCCCCCUGGCAUACCGCUGUAUGUGUCUGUGAAGGUGGUGGUGAUGAACGGCGUCCGACUGAACAAGCACAAGUGCCGGCGAGGCAGCAACUCUCUGGAGGGGUUGCACGCCCACCUGUUCAACGCCGUCCCUUCACAGCGAUGUGGGAUUAUGCCAUUCCAAGUAUACUUGGUAUCCUUUGCCAUGCAGUGGAACCACCGCAUGACAUCGCUCCGUGUCGCUGGUGGUCAUGGCCAGCAGACGUCGUGCUUGGACGCGCGGCAGAUCCAGCGCGUCAACCAGCAAGCCGAGGUUCUCUUCGGCAAGGAACACGUCCUGGAGCCCAACUUUGCUGCACCGAUGCCGGUCCCCGAAGUGUACGAGCACCCCGACGAGGAGGAGCUCCUUGGUGUCGAGUACGCCAUGUGCCAGUCCACCAGCUUCACUGCCAGGGACUACUACGUGCAGAAAGUUGAGGAAGAGCAGUCGCGUGAGGAAGAGGAGGAGGAGGAGGAGGAGGAGGAGUCGGCUGAGCAGGGAGACGACGAGACUGCGGACGAGGGUCUCGGCAUGUCUUCUGAUACAGAGGAGGACCCGAUAGACAGAGUCUGUGGAAAGCACGUCGUCCUCACCCAGGCAGAACAGGCGGAAGAGGAGGACAGUCCUGCCCUGCAAGACGUGCUGAUGAGCCAUCGACAUCUGCAUCUGCCAGGUAUAGAGGAAGUGGAAGCACUGGCCUUGCUCCUCCUAGAACUGGCCGACAACAGCGACCACCACCUAGUGCCGGCUGACCUCAGGCAGAAGAUCGCCGCCACCGCCAGCUCUCUCCACGACCACGACAAGACCGCCGCCCGCUUCGUCAAGCGGUACGAGUCCAGGUGGGGCUACACUUUGUUCGGUCGGUGCCUUGGGGCGGACUCUCCCGAGACCAGAGCAGCCCAGAAAACAAAGUUUGGCUGCAUGAGGUACGCUCAGGCGGCACAGGUGACCGAGGACAGUCGCCUGCUCUACCUCCUCCUCAAGAUGCUGAAGAACCGAGCGCCGACCAAUCAGCUCACCUCCCCCAGCAAGAUCACGGCUUCUUUGAAGGGACAGUAUAAGAGGAUUGCAGACCGAGUCCGAGACGACCCCAUCCUCGGCAGUCUCCCCAUUCCACUUCCCAACUUGAACGCCAAGUCCAUCUCGACCUUCACUGCCAGGGAGGAGAAAAAGGCCAACUACGGGGCGACUGUACUGCCGAAGGUGACGCCUCACCUGAAAGUGCUGUCAGACGCACCGUUCCCAGAAGCUCCUGCACUGCCAACAUCCCUCCCACCGCCAGACCGGCCUCAGGUCCAGUACCAGCACGUUCAUCACGAGGCUGGAAAAAGACGUGGUGAGAAGCGGAGGUAAGUUGUCAUCAGCACUUUGUUUCACCUGUUGGCUGUGGAAAGCAAAUAGCACACACGUCAUAUCAUACUCAUUACAUGUGUAUUUUAUAUUUCCAGAUUAUUUGUUGAAGAGCCAGAGCCUGUGCCUCCUGUGAACCGGCCCGUUCAGCCCACGGCGUCAUCCUCCUUCACUCGGCCAAAGCCUACUGCGUCCACCCACCUCCAGCCAAAGCCUGCUGCGCCCACCUAUGGACCACCCCCUGUGUCGGCAGCACCCAUACUGCUGGUUCUCCCCGCACAGCCACAGGCUCCCUCCGUCCUGUUUUCGUGGGCCAUCGUGCAGCCAGAGCUUUGUACCUCCUGCACCAACAGUCAAGGCAUUCAUGCCGAACAAGUCCUCGCGGCCAUGUGGGGCUUGCCAUGUGCCUAAUUGUGGUGGACAGCGGAAGAGGUACACACCUUCCAAGGACAAAGUGGCUGGAAGCACCCAGAAGAUAUUUUCCUACUGUCCAUCCACUAGGAAAUCCACCACCUCUGGGUUUGACAAUGUGGUGUACGACAGCUUUGAACACUUUAAAAGUGUGGUGGAUGUGGAGUUGGAAAAGAGUGUGUAAAUAACUUAUCUCUGUGAUGCCACUUCUCCUGUGCCAUCUGUAGGAGAGAGAAAGAGGCUUGUUUGUGUUUGUUUGUUUGUGUGUUUGUGUUUUAAAGUGCUUCAGCAAGUACAAACAAAACUAUCUAUUUAUUUAUAUAGUUCAGAAGUUCAAAAAAAUGCACUUUACAGUUUUACUUAAGAAUGUUCUUGUGUUUGUUUUUUUAUUAUUAUUUAUGUUGCUGUUAAAAUGCACUUUGUAGUAUCUUUUUUUUAUAAAAAACAUGUUCUGGCCUAUGUUUAAUAUCAAGGCCAAUCUAACCUCAAUCAUUUUAACCUUAAUCAGUUCCGAUCUAACACAAUCAGUUUACAUACCCUUUAGUGGUUGUUCAUGUCUGAUAAUAUGUGUUUUUGUCAUGUAUGUGUUUGU
rnacentral:lncRNA from 1 species